GAAUUGCAGCCAAUUACAUACAUGAAGAGAAAAUACUGCCACUCUCGUUUUAAAAAAAUACACUUAGAGAAUUAUUGCAACACAGUAAUUCAUUCAGUAUGCUUUUCGGAUGCCAGCUGGAACGCGAGACAAAAUCUUAUAUGAAGCAAUAGAAUACACACACAUCGGUUGAUAAAACUUGUUUAAUUUCUGUGAAAAAUUGAAACUGAAGUCAUAUUUGGAGCCGGCAUUAUAGAGAUAAAUCUACGCCUGGAAAUAUUUUUCACCACAUAGCAUCAUAUAGACGGACUCUUGUGUUGAUACUGUGUACGAUAUUGGUUUUGGAGGCUCAUGCUGAUUCAUCUAUAUGCAAGAUAUGUACUUGCAAAUCACUUACAAAUGUAAAUUGUCAAAAGCGCAAUCUAACAUCAGUCCCACAACCGAUUCCGACGAAUAUUGUAGAUUUAAAUCUUCGCUCCAACAACAUUGCAACUAUCAAACCAGAUACAUUCAAGGGUCUUUCGAAUUUACAGACAUUAUAUCUUCAUUCCAACAACAUUGCAACUAUCAAACCAGGUGCAUUCACGGGGCUUUCGAAUUUAAAGUAUCU